rnacentral:rRNA from 1 species
AACGAACGCUGGCGGCAUGCCUAACACAUGCAAGUCGAACGAGACCUUCGGGUCUAGUGGCGCACGGGUGCGUAACGCGUGGGAACCUGCCCUUAGGUUCGGAAUAACUCCCCGAAAGGGGUGCUAAUACCGGAUAAUGUCUUCGGACCAAAGAUUUAUCGCCUUUGGAUGGGCCCGCGUUGGAUUAGCUAGUUGGUAGGGUAAAAGCCUACCAAGGCGACGAUCCAUAGCUGGUCUGAGAGGAUGAUCAGCCACACUGGGACUGAGACACGGCCCAGACUCCUACGGGAGGCAGCAGUGGGGAAUAUUGGACGAUGGGCGAAAGCCUGAUCCAGCAAUGCCGCGUGAGUGAUGAAGGCCGUAGGGUUGUAAAGCUCUUUUACCCGGGAUGAUAAUGACAGUACCGGGAGAAUAAGCUCCGGCUAACUACGUG